UAUCCGUAGGUGAACCUGCGGAAGGUUCAUUAACGAGUUAGGGUCUUCUAGGCCCUACCGCCCAACCAUUUGUUUGCUGAACCAUUAUUGCCACGGUGGGUCCGUAUUACGACCGCCAGGGCAUCGCCGCGAGGCGCCACCUGGCACGUGCCCUCCGAUAGCCUAACCUUUAAAACCCUUUGUGAAUCGUGUCUUAUGUCUAAAUUUAUGAUUAAACAAUCAAAACAAAACUUUCAACAACGGAUCUCUUGGUUCUG
rnacentral:misc_RNA from 1 species